GAUGAACGCUGGCGGCGUGCCUAAUACAUGCAAGUCGAGCGAACAGACGAGGAGCUUGCUCCUCUGACGUUAGCGGCGGACGGGUGAGUAACACGUGGAUAACCUACCUCUAAGACUGGGAUAAAUUCGGGAAACCGGAGCUAAUACCGGAUAAUAUAUUGAACCGCAUGGUUCAAUAGUGAAUGACGGUUUUGCUGUCUCUUAUAGAUGGAUCCGCGCCGCAUUAGCUAGUUGGUAAGGUAACGGCUUACCAAGGCGACGAUGCGUAGCCGACCUGAGAGGAUGAUCAGCCACACUGGAACUGAGACACGGUCCAGACUCCUACGGGAGGCAGCAGUAGGGAAUCUUCCGCAAUGGGCGAAAGCCUGACGGAGCAACGCCGCGUGAGUGAUGAAGGUCUUCGGAUCGUAAAACUCUGUUAUUAGGGAAGAACAAAUGUGUAAGUAACUAUGCACGUCUUGACGGUACCUAAUCAGAAAGCCACGGCUAACUACGUG
rnacentral:rRNA from 1 species